AUUGAACGCUGGCGGCAUGCCUUACACAUGCAAGUCGAGGGAGAAUGUUGGAUUCGUCUGACAUGAAACCGGCGCACGGGUGCGUAACACGUAUGCAACCUACCUUUAACUGGGGUAUAGCUCAGAGAAAUCUGAAUUAAUCCCCCAUAAGACUACGACAUGGCAUCAUGAUGUAGUUAAAGCUCCGGCGGUUAAGGAUGGGCAUGCGGUACAUUAGCUAGUUGGUGAGGUAAUGGCUCACCAAGGCUACGAUGUAUAGGGGGUCUGAGACGAUGAUCCCCCACACUGGGACUGAUACACGGACCAGGUUCCUGCGGGAGGCAGCAGUAGGGAAUAUUGGUCAAUGGACGCAAGUCUGAACCAGCCAUGCCGCGUGAAGGAUGAAGGCCCUAUGGGUCGUAAACUUCUUUUAUUAGGGAAGAAAAAACGGGAUGCGUCCUGUACUGACGGUACUUAAUGAAUAAGGAUCGGCUAACUUCGUGCCAGCCGCCGCGGUAA
rnacentral:rRNA from 1 species